GACGAACGCUGGCGGCGUGCUUAACACAUGCAAGUCGAACGGAAAGGCCCUGCUUUUGUGGGGUGCUCGAGUGGCGAACGGGUGAGUAACACGUGAGUAACCUGCCCUUGACUUUGGGAUAACUUCAGGAAACUGGGGCUAAUACCGGAUAGGAGCUCCUGCUGCAUGGUGGGGGUUGGAAAGUUUCGGCGGUUGGGGAUGGACUCGCGGCUUAUCAGCUUGUUGGUGGGGUAGUGGCUUACCAAGGCUUUGACGGGUAGCCGGCCUGAGAGGGUGACCGGCCACAUUGGGACUGAGAUACGGCCCAGACUCCUACGGGAGGCAGCAGUGGGGAAUAUUGCACAAUGGGCGGAAGCCUGAUGCAGCAACGCCGCGUGCGGGAUGACGGCCUUCGGGUUGUAGACCGCUUUCGCCUGUGACGAAGCGUGAGUGACGGUAAUGGGUAAAGAAGCACCGGCUAACUACGUGCCAGCAGCCGCGGUGAUACGUAGGGUGCGAGCGUUGUCCGGAUUUAUUGGGCGUAAAGGGCUCGUAGGUGGUUGAUCGCGUCGGAAGUGUAAUCUUGGGGCUUAACCCUGAGCGUGCUUUCGAUACGGGUUGACUUGAGGAAGGUAGGGGAGAAUGGAAUUCCUGGUGGAGCGGUGGAAUGCGCAGAUAUCAGGAGGAACACCAGUGGCGAAGGCGGUUCUCUGGGCCUUUCCUGACGCUGAGGAGCGAAAGCGUGGGGAGCGAACAGGCUUAGAUACCCUGGUAGUCCACGCUGUAAACGGUGGGUACUAGGUGUGGGGUCCAUUCCACGGGUUCCGUGCCGUAGCUAACGCUUUAAGUACCCCGCCUGGGGAGUACGGCCGCAAGGCUAAAACUCAAAGGAAUUGACGGGGCCCCGCACAAGCGGCGGAGCAUGCGGAUUAAUUCGAUGCAACGCGUAGAACCUUACCUGGGUUUGACAUGGAUCGGGAGUGCUCAGAGAUGGGUGUGCCUCUUUUGGGGUCGGUUCACAGGUGGUGCAUGGCUGUCGUCAGCUCGUGUCGUGAGAUGUUGGGUUAAGUCCCGCAACGAGCGCAACCCUUGUUCACUGUUGCCAGCACGUUAUGGUGGGGACUCAGUGGAGACCGCCGGGGUCAACUCGGAGGAAGGUGGGGAUGACGUCAAGUCAUCAUGCCCCUUAUGUCCAGGGCUUCACGCAUGCUACAAUGGCUGGUACAGAGAGUGGCGAGCCUGUGAGGGUGAGCGAAUCUCGGAAAGUCGGUCUCAGUUCGGAUUGGGGUCUGCAACUCGACCUCAUGAAGUCGGAGUCGCUAGUAAACGCAGAUCAGCAACGCUGCGGUGAAUACGUUCCCGGCCA
rnacentral:rRNA from 1 species